rnacentral:rRNA from 1 species
AGAGUUUGAUCCUGGCUCAGGACGAACGCUGGCGGCGUGCUUAACACAUGCAAGUCGAGCGAGGCCCCGCCUUCGGGUGGGUGUCCUAGCGGCGAACGGGUGAGUAACACGUGGGCAACCUGCCCUCAGCUCUGGGAUAACUCCAAGAAAUUGGGGCUAAUACCGGAUAUGACCGCUGACCGCAUGGUCUGGUGGUGGAAAGAUUUAUCGGCUGGGGAUGGGCCCGCGGCCUAUCAGCUUGUUGGUGGGGUAGUGGCCUACCAAGGCGACGACGGGUAGCCGGCCUGAGAGGGUGACCGGCCACACUGGGACUGAGACACGGCCCAGACUCCUACGGGAGGCAGCAGUGGGGAAUAUUGCGCAAUGGGCGAAAGCCUGACGCAGCGACGCCGCGUGGGGGAUGACGGCCUUCGGGUUGUAAACCUCUUUCAGCAGGGACGAAGCGAAAGUGACGGUACCUGCAGAAGAAGCACCGGCCAACUACGUGCCAGCAGCCGCGGUAAUUCA